CUCGCUUGCUGUACAGACCACGCCGGCUGGCUAGGUCGCUCUGUAAAAAUUUGCACAGGAAAUUAGCAAGAAGAACAUCUAUAGCAUAAACGAUUAUAACACAUCAUUUCCUAUGAAAUAUCAUUUUGUCUGAGAUGAUUGCUUCAGAGGAGGCAGUGGGGAACAUCAAGAACAGUUAAGGGAGAUGACAAGAAUAUUAGCAGAAGCAGAGCAAUCUUCACAAUGAGAUUUGUUCCCUUCACGUGCCACCACCAUAUCUCUAUACACAUCCAUUAAUCUGGAGUGGUAUCAACUUUCAAAAGAUGAACUCUUCCAUGAAAUUUAUCAUCUCUACUCAUGCAUUUCAAUCAUGAACAGCUUGGUACAACAGUAAUUUUCACAUUCACAAUCAAUUGAUCAUGGAGAGACAUAAAGCUGGAAACUCAAGAAGAAGGAAUUAAGCUUUCAGUUAUAUGCAGCGCCACACUCCUAUCUAUAAUCUCAGUACUUCGGAUUUGGAGUCAGGAGGAUU
ensembl:lncRNA